CCUACGGGUGGCAGCAGUGAGGAAUAUUGGUCAAUGGACGCGAGCCUGAACCAGCCAAGUCGCGUGAGGGAGGACGGCCCUACGGGUUGUAAACCUCUUUUGCCGGGGAGCAACGGGCGUCACGUGUGGCGCCACUGAGAGUACCCGGAGAAAAAGCAUUGGCUAACUCCGUGCCAGCAGCCGCGGUAAUACGGGGGAUGCGAGCGUUAUCCGGAUUGAUUGGGUUUAAAGGGUGCGUAGGCGGAUCGUUAAGUCAGUGGUCAAAUUGAGGGGCUCAACCCCUUCCCGCCAUUGAAACUGGCGCUCUUGAGUGGAAGAGAAGUAUGCGGAAUGCGUGGUGUAGCGGUGAAAUGCAUAGAUAUCACGCAGAACCCCGAUUGCGAAGGCAGCAUGCCGGCUUCCGACGGACGCUGAAGCACGAAAGCGUGGGGAUCGAACAGGAUUAGAUACCCUGGUAGUC
rnacentral:rRNA from 1 species